CCUACGGGUGGCAGCAGUGGGGAAUAUUGCGCAAUGGGCGAAAGCCUGACGCAGCGACGCCGCGUGAGGGAUGAAGGUCUUCGGAUCGUAAACCUCUGUCAGCAGGGAAGAACGGUCACUGUGCUAAUCAGCAGUGAAUUGACGGUACCUGCAAAGGAAGCACCGGCUAACUCCGUGCCAGCAGCCGCGGUAAUACGGAGGGUGCGAGCGUUAAUCGGAAUUACUGGGCGUAAAGCGCUCGUAGGCGGUAUGUCAAGUCAAGGGUGAAAUCCCCGCGCUCAACGUGGGAACUGCCUUUGAAACUGGCAAACUUGAGUGUGUGAGAGGAUAGUGGAAUUCCAGGUGUAGGAGUGAAAUCCGUAGAUAUCUGGAGGAACAUCAGUGGCGAAGGCGACUAUCUGGCACAUAACUGACAUUGAUGCUCGAAAGUGUGGGUAUCAAACAGGAUUAGAUACCCCGGUAGUC
rnacentral:rRNA from 1 species